rnacentral:rRNA from 1 species
CCUACGGGUGGCAGCAGUGAGGAAUAUUGGUCAAUGGGCGCGAGCCUGAACCAGCCAAGUCGCGUGAGGGAGUACUGCCCUACGGGUUGUAAACCUCUUUUGCCGGGGAGCAACGGCCGCCACGUGUCGCCUCACUGAGAGUCCCCGGAGAAAACGCAUCGGCUAACUCCGUGCCCGCCGCCGCGGUAAUACGGAGGAUGCGAGCUGUAUCCGUAUUUAUUGGGUUUAAGGGGUGCGCAGGCGGAUCGUUAAGUCAGUGGUAAAAUUGAGGGGCUCAACCCCUUCCCGCCAUUGAAACUGGCGUUCUUGAGUGGACGAGAGGUAUGCGGAAUGCGUGGUGUAGCGGUGAAAUGCAUAGAUAUCACGCAGAACCCCGAUUGCGAAGGCAGCAUGCCGGCUUACGACUGACGCUGAAGCACGAAAGCGUGGGGAUCGAACAGGAUUAGAUACCCCAGUAGUC